rnacentral:rRNA from 1 species
AUCUAUGGCCAUGCCACUCUGAACAAGCCCAAUCCUGUCUGAUCUGGGAAGCUAAGCAGGAUCAGGCCUGGUUAGCAGGAUCAGGCCUGGUUAAUACUUGGAUGGGAGACCACCUUGGAAGACCAGGUACUGCAGGCA